AUUGAACGCUGGCGGCAUGCUUUACACAUGCAAGUCGAACGGUAACAGGUUAAGCUGACGAGUGGCGAACGGGUGAGUAAUGCAUCGGAACGUGCCCGAUCGUGGGGGAUAACGCAGCGAAAGCUGCGCUAAUACCGCAUACGAUCUGAGGAUGAAAGCGGGGGACCGUAAGGCCUCGCGCGAUCGGAGCGGCCGAUGUCAGAUUAGGUAGUUGGUGGGGUAAAGGCUCACCAAGCCGACGAUCUGUAGCUGGUCUGAGAGGACGACCAGCCACACUGGGACUGAGACACGGCCCAGACUCCUACGGGAGGCAGCAGUGGGGAAUUUUGGACAAUGGGCGCAAGCCUGAUCCAGCAAUGCCGCGUGCAGGAAGAAGGCCUUCGGUUGUAACUGCUUUGUACGGAGCGAAAAGGUUCUCUCUAAUACAAGGGGCUCAUGACGGUACCGUAAGAAUAAGCACCGGCUAACUACGUGCCAGCAG
rnacentral:rRNA from 1 species